AUAUCUAAAUUUUCACUUAACUUUAUAUUCUGGUCCGUCUGAUGAUUUAAUUUUAAAUAUUAAAUGAUUGAUAAGUGGAUCAGUUACUCCGUACUUGAAUAUAUAUUUUUACCAAAUACUUUUUUACUGUUAUUUGAAUAAUUUCUUGGAUGCUACUUUUCAGUUUUACUUGAGUAAAAACAUGUUGAAGUACUGGUACUCCCACUUGAGUAUAAUUUUUAGAUCCUCAACUCCCCUCUGGAUUUAAUCAGAAGGAAACUGUCUGGUUAAAGUUAAAUGUUGGACAGUUCUGGAAGAAAACUGCAAAAUACUAGAAACCAGGUCAGGACCUACAAGUUAGAAUGUCCCAGUCAAAGUCACAACUUAAGUCCAAUUAAGAAUCCAUAGGAAAACUUGGAAAGAGAUUAUCAAAAAUAAUUUCCAUCCAGUUUAGACGUUUUACUUUUACUUGAGUAAGAAUACAUUGCAGUAGUGGUACUAUUACUCGAGUACGACUCUUGUGUACUUUGCCCUACUUCUG